UAUGUACAUAUGCAGCAGAGAGACAGCAGGCAGAGGGACAGGCAGAGAGAGGGGCAAAGAGACUCACAGACAUAAAGAAACUAUAUAAGGAUGCCUCGUCGGCCCCAAUUCUCAGUGCACGUUUGCUUGUCGACGCGGAAGGUUGGUUGCGGACAACAUUUUUUUCAAUUUUUUUUUAAAUGUUUAUUUUUUCAGAACACAGACUACUAUUAUGUGGUACAAGAGACUCACAGAGAUACAAGUACAGAGACAGCAGGCAGAGAGACACAGGAAGAGAGACAGGUAGAGAGACAGGAAGAGAGACGAAGGCAGAGAGACACAGGAAGAGAGACAGCAAGCAGAGGGACAGGCAGAGAUGGAGGCAAAGAGACAGACAGAGGCACAGGAAGAGAGACAGGCAAAGAGAAAGGCAGAGGCACAGGAAGAGAGACAGCCGGCAGAGAGACAGGUAGAGAGACGGGUAGAGAGACAGGAAGAGAGACGAAGGUAGAGAGACAGGAAGAUAGGCAGAAGGCAGAGAGACACAGGAAUAGAGACAGCAAGCAGAGGGACAGGCAGAGAGACAGGCAAAGAGACAGACAGAGACACAGGAAGAGAGACAGCAAGCAGAGGGACAGGCAGAAAGGGAG
rnacentral:lncRNA from 1 species